rnacentral:lncRNA from 1 species
CUUAGUUAAGUAUCACCGUUCAUUAACAAGUCCUGUGCUUUAUAAUAUAUUAAAAAAUGGAAGGACGUGAAGAAAACAGGUUUGUAAAUAAUGUUGUACAUCAUGCAGAUAGCUCAGAAGAAGAAGCAGGAAUGUUUGACUGGAAAUAUAAACGAUGUUGUACAUAAUGCAGAUAGCUUAGGCAAAAAAGAGAUUGGUGAAAUGGAGAAUGAGACUAACUAGGGUGAAAAAAAAUGAAUAUUAAUAUGUGAAUGGUACUUUGUUUAACAUCUACCUGUUUCUACAGAUACAGUACAGAUGCAUUUAUAAAUGGGCUUGAUGUUUUUUUGAAUUAAAUAUGUUGUAUUGAUGGCUCUUUUUAACU